rnacentral:piRNA from 1 species
UGAAAUAUAAGCCUACUCCUAAGA